CAGCCUGCCCAGUGACCACAAGUUCAACGGCCGCGGUAUUUUGACCGUGCAAAGGUAGCGCAAUCACUUGUCUUUUAAAUGAAGACCUGUAUGAAUGGCCAAACGAGGGCUUAGCUGUCUCCCCUUUCAAGUCAGUGAAAUUGAUCUGCCCGUGCAGAAGCGGACAUAAAAGUACAAGACGAGAAGACCCUUUGGAGCUUAAGGUUCAAAUCCAACCGCGUCAAACAACUUACUAAAUAAGGACUAAACCUAGCGGAAAUUGGAACUUUACCUUCGGUUGGGGCGACCACGGAGAACAACACAUCCUCCGAGUGGACUGGGCUAACAAGCCUAAAACUAAGAAAUACAUUUCUAAGCCACAGAAAAUCUGACCAACAAAGAUCCGGCCCACGGGCCGAUCAACGGACCAAGUUACCCUAGGGAUAACAGCGCAAUCCUCUCCCAGAGUCCAUAUCGACGAGGGGGUUUACGACCUCGAUGUUGGAUCAGGACAUCCUAAUGGUGCAGCCGCUAU
rnacentral:rRNA from 1 species